UAACUUGCAAGAAUGAAUCAAUUGUGGAUGGAAUUGUAUCCUCCAAAAAAGAUUGGUUGAAGCCCUAAUCAUCAGUGCAUCAGAAUGUAGCCUUAUUUGGAAAUGGGCAAUUGUAGAUUUAAUAUCAAUAUGAUAUCAUACUAGAGUAUGGACUCUUCAUCCAACAUGACUGGUGUCCUUAUGCAAAUAAGAGACAAAGGCAUAGACAAAUGAAUGGAGAAUACUAUGUGACAAUGGAAGCAGAGAUUGAAGCAGUAUAGUUGAAAGUCAAGGAUUACCAAGAAUUGACAGCUACCACCCGAAGCUAGGAAGAGGCAAGGAAGAAUUCUUCUCAUUGUCUCAGAGAAAGAUAUGAAGAUAAGGAUUACUCCAAAGUUUAGCAUUUGAGCAAAUUUAAGGAUGGCAUUCAUGAAAAAAUGGAGGAGGCAAGAGAAGAAGCUGAUUCAGGGAUUAAGUCAGAAUGGCAAUUAUCAAGAAUACAACCAACAAUAAGUGUUGGCGAGGAUGUGGGGGAAAAGCACACUCACACACUGCUGGUGGGACAACAAAUUGGUGCAACCACUAUGGAAAGCAGUAUGGAGAUUCCUCAGAAAACUGGGAAUGGAACCACCAUUUGACCCAGCUAUCCCAGUCCUUGGUCUAUACCCAAAGGACUUAAAAUCAGCAUACUACAGUGACAUAGCCACAUCAUUGUUUAUAGCAGCUCAAUUCACAAUAGCUAAACUAUGGAACCAACUUAGAUGCCCUUCAUCAGAUGAAUGGAUAAA